rnacentral:rRNA from 1 species
AUACGGAGGGUGCAAGCGUUACUCGGAAUCACUGGGCGUAAAGCGCGCGCAGGCGGCUAUUUAAGUUGGAUGUGAAAGCCUACGGCUCAACCGUAGAACUGCAUCCAUAACUAUUUAGCUAGAGUGUGGGAGAGGAAGAUGGAAUUAGUUGUGUAGGGGUAAAAUCCGUAGAGAUAACUAGGAAUACCAAAAGCGAAGGCAAUCUUCUGGAACACUACUGACGCUGAGGCGCGAAAGCGUGGGGAGCAAACAGGAUUAGAUACCCUAGUAGUCC